GCGUCCUUAGUUCAGUUGGUAGAACGGCGGUCUCCAAAGCCGCAUGUCGGAGGUUCGAGUCCUUCAGGGCGCG
rnacentral:tRNA from 1 species